CCUACGGGGGGCAGCAGUGGGGGAUAUUGCACAAUGGGCGAAAGCCUGAUGCAGCAACGCCGCGUGGGUGAAGAAGGGCUUCGGCUCGUAAAGCUCUGUCCUCCGGGAAGAUAAUGACGGUACUUGACGAGGAAGCCCCGGCUAACUACGUGCCAGCAGCCGCGGUAAUACGUGGGGGGCUAGCGUUAUCCGGAUUUACUGGGGGUAAAGGGGGCGUAGGUGGAUUCUAAAGUCAGAGUGAAAAGGCUAGGGCGCAACCCUGGUCAGCCUUUGAAACUGGGUAACUUGAGUGCAGGAGAGGAGAGUGGAAGUCCUGGUGUAGCGGUGAAAUGCGUAGAUAUUAGGAGGAACACCAGUGGCGAAGGCGG
rnacentral:rRNA from 1 species